AAAGGUCUUGUUGGAGAUGAUCUCUGUGGGAUAUCAACUUUUUAGCCCGUCUCUGACAGCCUCAUUGAAUCCUGAAGUUGUCUUUUCAGGCUCACAUUGGUCAAAAAUGCCAUAGUAAUUCUUGGAGAGGAAACCUGCUGACCACUGUAGCAGAAAACCCUUUAUUGUUUUAACUCAAAACUCAGUUCCAGUGGUUGACCUAAAAACUCUGCAAAACUGAAAAUGUAACUUUGACCUCUGAGGCAGAUGAAAGUCAUAAUGAAAAGAUUUUUAAACCACAACUCCUUUGAUCUCUUUUUUGUAUAAGUUUCAUGUUGAAUGCUCUUCUUGAUGGUACCCCCUGCAUUUACCAGGCUUGGGACAGGCACAUGCGGUACUAGCUUAACUAGCCUUGUAUUUAACUUCAGCGAUCCCUGAAAUACUUUAUAUCUACCCCAUCCCUGAGAAAGUUAUGUCUCUUCCAAUUAUGGUUUAAUUUGAUUCUUGUUUCGUUUUAUUUAUUUUUUAUAAACUUUGCAUCCUAAUGCAACACUUUACCAACUUGAAGUAAUGCAUAACCUAGCUUUUGCUGCUUCAGAAUCAGUUGUAGUUAUGUUUAUUGCUUCAAUGACUAAAGGGUUACAGUAGGCAAAAAAAUUAAAACACUGGAGCUACAGAUCCUGGUUAAAUGGGUUACUGUGACUAUUUACCAGGAGUUCCUGUCAGUGCAGAACAUCCAGCCUUCAGGCAGACUGUUAACCAAGAGGAAGAGGAGCUAAGAAAAGAGGAACAACAUAUGAAAUAGCAGAUGGAGAGAUUGAGGGAGGAGCUGAACUCUGCUGCUUCUAGUCAUUGGAACAGAUGUCAGCUGUGAAGAACUCACUGCAGUCAAGAAGGAAGAGUCCACUUUGGAAGGAACUUCUGUCACUCUGUCCUACAAAUAU